UACAGAGGGUGCGAGCGUUAAUCGGAAUUACUGGGCGUAAAGCGCACGUAGGCGGCUUUGUAAGUUAGAGGUGAAAGCCCGGGGCUCAACUCCGGAAUUGCCUUUAAGACUGCAUCGCUAGAAUUGUGGAGAGGUAAGUGGAAUUCCGAGUGUAGAGGUGAAAUUCGUAGAUAUUCGGAAGAACACCAGCGGCGAAGGCGACUUACUGGACACAUAUUGACGCUGAGGUGCGAAAGCGUGGGGAGCAAACAGG
rnacentral:rRNA from 1 species